rnacentral:rRNA from 1 species
AUGAACGCUGGCGGCGUGCCUAAUACAUGCAAGUCGAGCGAACAGACGAGGAGCUUGCUCCUCUGACGUUAGCGGCGGACGGGUGAGUAACACGUGGAUAACCUACCUAUAAGACUGGGAUAACUUCGGGAAACCGGAGCUAAUCCCGGAUAAUAUAUUGAACCGCAUGGUUCAAUAGUGAAAGACGGUUUUGCUGUCACUUAUAGAUGGAUCCGCGCCGCAUUAGCUAGUUGGUAAGGUAACGGCUUACCAAGGCAACGAUGCGUAGCCGACCUGAGAGGGUGAUCGGCCACCCUGGAACUGAGACACGGUCCAGACUCCUACGGGAGGCAGCAGUAGGGAAUCUUCCGCAAUGGGCGAAAGCCUGACGGAGCAACGCCGCGUGAGUGAUGAAGGUCUUCGGAUCGUAAAACUCUGUUAUUAGGGAAGAACAAAUGUGUAAGUAACUAUGCACGUCUUGACGGUACCUAAUCAGAAAGCCACGGCUAACUACGUG